AUGGCCAAACCGUACACUCAUUCCUAUAUCUCCAAACUACAUUUGGACUAUCCAAAUCUGCCUUUCUCUCCUAUCUCCAGAUUAAAUCUUGGCUCACAAGGCACUUGCCCAUAACAGCUACAGAAACAAACAGAACAACAAACUCCCAUAUACCUCAAAUCGUGGAACUUUGCACUCAACAACGAAAUCCCACGAGAAUAAUUUCUUCGCUAUAUGCACUCAUUACAAAACAACCUCACACAGGGAAACCCUCCUUUGCCAGAGCAUGGGAAUCAGACUUCAGGGAGACACUCGACCAAGCACAGUGGUCCAAAAUCUACCUAGCUAACAAGACACUUACCCUAUGCGCUACACAUAUAGAAUUAACCAGAAAGAUCCUCUACCGAUGGUAUAUGGUGCCUACACGGCUCAAACACAUGGACCCUAACAGGUCAGAUCUGUGCUGGAGAUGCAAAUCAGCACCGGGCACUAUGUGCCAAAAAGUUACAAAGUUCUGGGAAACAGUGAGGCAACUAAUACAGGACUCAGCAGGGGUAACGAUACCAUUAUGACCGGAAACCUACCUACUACAACUCUUCCCAAGUAACAUGCCAAAACCUGCAAAAUAUCUCUCCUACCAUAUCAUAGUAGCAGCUCUCUCUACAAUCAGUAGAGCCUGGCUUUCUGAGGCCUCUCCGGAUAUUAAUCUAAGUAUCCAAACGGUACAAACCACUAAGUCAUAUGAGGCUAUGGCUAGACAGACCAAACCCCCCAAACUGUUCUGGAGGGAGGCAUGGAGAUUAUGGGAUUCAUGCCUAACCAACAGGGGGGUGACAAACCCCACCCAAUCCUCCUCCUGAUACCUGAGACCCGCUCCAACUGAAGCACAAAUAUUUAACCUCACACGCCUUCACAUAC